rnacentral:rRNA from 1 species
CCUACGGGAGGCAGCAGUGAGGAAUAUUGGUCAAUGGGCUUACGCCUGAACCAGCCAAGUCGCGUGAGGGAAGACUGUCCUAUGGGUUGUAAACCUCUUUUGUCAGGGAGCAACGCCGGCUACGUGUAGCCGGACUGAGAGUACCUGAAGAAAAAGCAUCGCCUAACUCCGUGCCAGCAGCCGCGGUAAUCCGGGGGAUGCGAGCGUUAUCCGGAUUUAUUGGGUUUAAAGGUGGCGUAGGCGGACUGCCAAGUCAGCGGUAAAAGCGCGGGGCUCAACCUCGCUCCGCCGUUGAAACUGGCGUUCUUGAGUGGGCGAGAAGUAUGCGGAAUGCGUGGUGUAGCGGUGAAAUGCUUAGAUAUCACGCAGAACUCCGAUUGCAAAGGCAGCAUACCGGCGCCCAACUGACGCUGAAGCACGAAAGCGUGGGUAUCGAACAGGAUUAGAUACCCUUGUAGUC